CCUACGGGAGGCAGCAGUAGGGAAUAUUGCUCAAUGGGGGAAACCCUGAAGCAGCAACGCCGCGUGGAGGAUGAAGGUUUUCGGAUUGUAAACUCCUUUUGUUAGAGAAGAUAAUGACGGUAUCUAACGAUUCAGCACCGGCUAACUCCGUACCAGCAGCCGCGGUAAUACGGAGGGUGCAAGCGUUACGCGGAAUCACUGGGCGUAACGAUCGCGGAGGCGGGAUAGCAAGUCAGAUGUGAAAGCCUAUGGCUUAACCAUAGAACUGCAUUUGAAACUGGUAUUCUAGAGUAUGGGAGAGGUAGGUGGAAUUCUUGGUGUAGGGGUAAAAUCCGUAGAGAUAAAGAGGAAUACUCAUUGCGAAGGCGACCUGCUAGAACAUAACUGACGCUGAUGUGCGAAAGCGUGGGGAGCAAACAGGAUUAGAUACCCCAGUAGUC
rnacentral:rRNA from 1 species